GGCCGGGCGCGCGCAGCUCGCGGCUCUCCUGCUGCGAGGUCGGCGUCGCUGAGAACGCGACGGCGGCGCGCGGCACCCGGUAGGGCUCGGAAAAGGGAUUAACAGUACCAACUCGGCAGCGGGCGUAGUGUCAGCCCCGGGUACGGAGCAUGAAUGCACAGCAAACAACACAUUGAUUGGUGGUGAUGGGCAGUUACUUCUCUCCGUGAGAAGCCGCAAUAUCAUUCUGAGAGAGACGGUGAUGGGCCGAGCUCAACACAGUACCCACGAGGGGGAAAUGUCCGCCAGCUUCAGGCUAGCCGCAGGCCAACUCUUCCACCCUUGUCCCCAGUGCCCGACCACCGCAGCCCUCUAUGCAAAUGCCGUCACUACUACAGGACCAGAAGAAAGACAGCUGACGACAGAGGACUGAGGACCUGGGCACCACCACUUACCGACCACUUCGUCGUCUGGCUGAAAGAACGUUACCUUCCUGCCAACUAAAGAGCAGAAAUAGUCUACAGAUAAGGAAAACGAAGUAAAAUGGCCUCAUAAUCAAUUCAUCCUUUGGUACCAAGAUAUGUACACACGGACAGCUCUCAGACGGAAUCCUAGCUGCAUAGAGUGCUCAUCCUGCCAAAUCAGCCCAGGCUCUGCUCACUAGUGAUUCCACACACUAGCAAUUCCACACGGGCUGGUGAGAUGGCUCAGUGGGUAAGAGCACCCGACUGCUCUUCCGAAGGUCCGGAGUUCAAAACACAGCAACCACAUGGUCGCUCACAACCAUCCGAAACAAAAUCUGACUCCCUCUUCUGGAGUGUCUGAAGACAGCUACAGUGUAUUUACAUAUAAUAAAUAAAUAAAUCUUUUAAAAAUGACCUUUUAAUAAAUUUAUAUU
rnacentral:lncRNA from 1 species